GCUCCUUCAACCAUCUUUCUCGAUGAAAUUGAUGCCAUUAUCAGUCAACGCGGGGAAGCGCGCAGUGAGCAUGAAUCUAGUAGGCGUUUAAAAACAGAACUGCUCAUACAGAUGGACGGUUUGAAUCGGACAGAUGAACUUGUCUUUGUUCUUGCUGCAACAAAUCUUCCCUGGGAACUGGAUGCAGCAAUGCUCCGACGUCUUGAGAAGCGGAUCCUUGUGCCCCUUCCGGAGGCAGAAGCAAGGUGCGGGAUGUUUGAGGAUUUACUACCAUCCCUUCCUGAAGAGGCGCCACUUCCAUAUGAUUUAUUGGUAGAAAAGACAGAAGGCUUUUCCGGUUCUGAUAUUCGGCUAUUAUGCAAGGAGGCUGCCAUGCAACCAUUACGACGUCUAAUGGCAGAACUUGAUAAGAGGGAAGAAUUGGUGCCUGAGGAUGAGUUGCCCAAUGUUGGACCAAUAACUGUGACAGAUAUCGAGGUGGCACUGAAGAACACGAGACCAUCUGCACACCUACAUGCACCUAGGUACGAUAAGUUCAAUUCAGAUUAUGGCAGCCAUGCUCUCCAGUGAAGGCACCCUGUUGUAUCCUCUCAUUUCUGCUGUUGUCCCGUGAUCUAUUCAGCAAUGUGCCAACACAGAUGUUAAGUUUUUAACACCUGUGUUUGUAAAAUGUAUGACUCUGUUGUGUGUUGAGCAAUUUAGCUUUAGUGUGCUCAAUUCUUAUUCAUGUUUUUCUUCUAUGGUUGCAUAAACUAUGUUCUUUCACAACUGGAAACGUCGUUCUUUAUUUCUUUCUUCAGGCUUAUGUUUCUCCUAUAGAAACUCUAUUGUAACGAGCAUUUAGAAAUGUUCGUAUUGUU
rnacentral:misc_RNA from 1 species